UACGUAGGGGGCAAGCGUUGUCCGGAAUCAUUGGGCGUAAAGAGCGUGUAGGCGGUCCGGUAAGUCGGCUGUGAAAGUCCAGGGCUCAACCCUGGGAUGCCGGUCGAUACUGCCGGACUAGAGUUCGGAAGAGGCGAGUGGAAUUCCCGGUGUAGCGGUGAAAUGCGCAGAUAUCAGGAGGAACACCGGUGGCGAAGGCGGGUCUCUGGGCCGAAACUGACGCUGAGGAGCGAAAGCGUGGGGAGCGAACAGG
rnacentral:rRNA from 1 species